AGAGUUUGAUCCUGGCUCAGGAUGAACGCUGGCGGCGUGCUUAACACAUGCAAGUCGAACGGUGAAGCCAAGCUUGCUUGGUGGAUCAGUGGCGAACGGGUGAGUAACACGUGAGCAACCUGCCCUGGACUCUGGGAUAAGCGCUGGAAACGGCGUCUAAUACUGGAUAUGAGACGUGAUCGCAUGGUCGUGUUUGGAAAGAUUUUUCGGUCUGGGAUGGGCUCGCGGCCUAUCAGCUUGUUGGUGAGGUAAUGGCUCACCAAGGCGUCGACGGGUAGCCGGCCUGAGAGGGUGACCGGCCACACUGGGACUGAGACACGGCCCAGACUCCUACGGGAGGCAGCAGUGGGGAAUAUUGCACAAUGGGCGGAAGCCUGAUGCAGCAACGCCGCGUGAGGGAUGACGGCCUUCGGGUUGUAAACCUCUUUUAGCAGGGAAGAAGCGAAAGUGACGGUACCUGCAGAAAAAGCGCCGGCUAACUACGUG
rnacentral:rRNA from 1 species